rnacentral:rRNA from 1 species
AUUGAACGCUGGCGGCAUGCCUUACACAUGCAAGUCGAACGGUAACGCGGGGCAACCUGGCGACGAGUGGCGAACGGGUGAGUAAUGCAUCGGAACGUGCCCAGUAGUGGGGGAUAGCCCGGCGAAAGCCGGAUUAAUACCGCAUACGACCUAUGGGUGAAAGCGGGGGAUCGCAAGACCUCGCGCUAUUGGAGCGGCCGAUGUCAGAUUAGGUUGUUGGUGGGGUAAAGGCCUACCAAGCCUGCGAUCUGUAGCUGGUCUGAGAGGACGACCAGCCACACUGGGACUGAGACACGGCCCAGACUCCUACGGGAGGCAGCAGUGGGGAGUUUUGGACAAUGGGCGCAAGCCUGAUCCAGCCAUGCCGCGUGCGGGAAGAAGGCCUUCGGGUUGUAAACCGCUUUUGUCAGGGAAGAAAUGUUCUGGGCUAAUACCCCGGGAAGAUGACGGUACCUGAAGAAUAAGCACCGGCUAACUACGUGCCAGCCGCCGCAGUAAAAC